GGCCUAUUGAAUAUAAUUUUAGGUCGAUCUGCCCAAUGAUUUUAAAUUUAAUGGCUGCGGUAUUUUGACUGUACAAAGGUAGCAUAAUCAAUUGUUUUUUAAUUGAAAACUAGAAUGAAAGAAUUAAUGAGAUAUAUACUGUCUCAUAUAUAAUAAAUGAAUUUAAAUUUUUAGUAAAAAUGCUUAAAUUAUUUUAUGGGACGAUAAGACCCUAUAGAAUUUUAUAUUAAUAUAAAUAGUUAUUUUUAUAGGAUUUUUAUAUUAAUAUUUAAUUGGGAGGAUUAGUAAAUUUAAUAAACUUUAUUUUAAAUAUAAACUUUGAUUUAAGAAUUAUUUUUGAUCUUGUAUUAUGAAAAUAAGAAUAAAUUACCUUAGGGAUAACAGCGUAAUAUCUUUUUAAAGGUCAUAUUGAUAAAGAUGAUUGCGACCUCGAUGUUGAAUUAAGAUAAAUUUUGGAUGGAGAAGUUUAAAAAUUAAGUCUGUUCGACUUUUAAAAUCUUACAUGAUUUGAGUUCAAAUCGACGUGAGU
rnacentral:rRNA from 1 species